AUUGGACGCUGGCGGCAUGCUUUACACAUGCAAGUCGAACGGCAGCGCGGGCUUCGGCCUGGCGGCGAGUGGCGAACGGGUGAGUAAUGCAUCGGAACGUGCCCAGUAGUGGGGGAUAGCCCGGCGAAAGCCGGAUUAAUACCGCAUACGACCUGAGGGUGAAAGCGGGGGACCGAAAGGCCUCGCGCUAUUGGAGCGGCCGAUGUCGGAUUAGCUAGUUGGUGGGGUAAAGGCUUACCAAGGCGACGAUCCGUAGCUGGUCUGAGAGGACGACCAGCCACACUGGACUGAGACACGGCCCAGACUCCUACGGGAGGCAGCAGUGGGGAAUUUUGGACAAAGGGGGCAACCCUGAUCCAGCCAUGCCGCGUGCGGGAAGAAGGCCUUCGGGUUGUAAACCGCUUUUGUUCGGGAAGAAAUCCUCUGGGCUAAUACCCCGGGGGGAUGACGGUACCGGAAGAAUAAGCACCGGCUAACUACGUG
rnacentral:rRNA from 1 species